GGGCGGGAUGGGCGAGCCUGAUCCAGCCAUGCCGCGUGUGUGAAGAAGGUCUUCGGAUUGUAAAGCACUUUAAGUUGGGAGGAAGGACAGUAAAUUAAUACUUUGCUGUUUUGACGUUACCGACAGAAUAAGCACCGGCUAACUCUGUGCCAGCAGCCGCGGUAAUACAGAGGGUGCAAGCGUUAAUCGGAAUUACUGGGCGUAAAGCGCGCGUAGGUGGUUUGUUAAGUUGAAUGUGAAAUCCCCGGGCUCAACCUGGGAACUGCAUCCAAAACUGGCAAGCUAGAGUAUGGUAGAGGGUAGUGGAAUUUCCUGUGUAGCGGUGAAAUGCGUAGAUAUAGGAAGGAACACCAGUGGCGAAGGCGACUACCUGGACUGAUACUGACACUGAGGUGCGAAAGCGUGGGGAGCAAACAGGAUUAGAUACCGGGGGAAAUUCAAA
rnacentral:rRNA from 1 species